GACGAACGCUGGCGGCGUGCCUAACACAUGCAAGUCGAGCGGAGUCAGUAAGAGGAAGUUUUCGGAUGGAAUCUUAUUGAUUUAGCGGCGGACGGGUGAGUAACGCGUGAGCGACCAACCUUGCACAGGGGGGAUAACGGACCGAAAGGUUCACUAAUACCGCAUGAGACCACGGUGUUGCAUGACACAGGGGUCAAAGGAGCAAUCCGGUGCAAGACGGGCUCGCGUCCGAUUAGGUAGUUGGAGGGGUAACGGCCCACCAAGCCUAUGAUCGGUAGCCGACCUGAGAGGGUGAUCGGCCACAUUGGAACUGAGAUACGGUCCAAACUCCUACGGGAGGCAGCAGUGGGGAAUAUUGGGCAAUGGGGGAAACCCUGACCCAGCAACGCCGCGUGAAGGAAGAAGGUUUUCGGAUUGUAAACUUCUGUCCUUGGUGAAGAGAAGAAAACGGUAGCCAAGGAGGAAGCCCCGGCUAACUACGUGCCAGCAGCCGCGGUAAGAGUCACGUCG
rnacentral:rRNA from 1 species